rnacentral:rRNA from 1 species
UUCUAAGGGCGGUGAAGUCAGACCGGAAGGACUGGUGGAGCGCUUAGAAGUGAGAAUGCCGGUAUGAGUAGCGAAAGAAGGGUGAGAAUCCCUUCCACCGAAUAUCUAAGGUUUCCUGAGGAAGGCUCGUCCGCUCAGGGUUAGUCGGGACCUAAGCCGAGGCCGAUAGGCGUAGGCGAUGGACAACAGGUAGAGAUUCCUGU